rnacentral:rRNA from 1 species
UUUAUAAUAACUUAGCAAAUCGCAAAGUGAAAACAGGCGAUAAAUCAUUCAAGUUUCUGACCUAUCAGCUUUCGACGGUAUGGUAUUGGCUUACCGUGGCAGUGACGGUUAACGGGGGAUUAGGGUUCGAUUCCGGAGAGGGAGCCUGAGAAACGGCUACCACAUCUAAGGAAGGCAGCAGGCGCGCAAAUUACCCAAUUCUAACAGUUUGAGAGAGGUAGUAACAAGAAAUAACAAUACAAGGCAGUUAAAAUGCUUUGUAAUUGGAAUGAUAGAAAUUUAAACCCUUUUUAAAGUAUCAAUUGGANGGCAAGUCUGGUGCCAGCAGCCGCGGUNAUUCCAGCUCCAAUANCGUAUAUUAAAAUUGUUGCANUUAAAAAGCUCGUAGUUGAAGUUCUGCUGAAAGUAACCGGUCUGCUUUUAAUAAAAGUGGUNUCUUGGUAUGUAUUUAGCAAUGAUGUCCUUUGAAGUGUUUUUUACUUUAUUGUAAUAAAGCAUAUUNAUGACUUUUACUUUGAGAAAAUU